GUUGGUGUGCUGUCAUGGCCUUUGGUUUUUGUUUUCGUUUGCGAUUGUAAAUUUACACGCUUGAGACUGCCCGUUUUAGAUUUCAGCUGCCUGCUGAGGUUUGGAUUCAGAAAUUAUUUUUGUAAAAUCUCUGAUGGGCUGGCUUGGACGUUAGCGUAAUGUGGUGUUUAACGUGAGCCUGUUCAAAAUCCAUCUUGAGCGGAAUUCACCGGUGAUGGGCUUCAAAUUCCACCUGCAGCAAUGGCAGGUCACGGCUUAUUGCUUUACCCUGAGCUCUAGUUCUACAGUAUCUCGAGUCCACAUCGCUUUACCGAUGCAAUAGCCACCAGUUUCUGAUGUCGUUAUCAGACGAAAUCAGAGGGCAGUUUGUGACAUACUUGAAAUAAUAUAUCUUUGAGGACACAAAGUAGCUGCCCUUUUUAUUAGACACAUGCACGAGGUAAUGUGAUUUACAGAAAUAUCAGAUUUGCAAUAAAAUAGUCCAUCACAUUGUACUCUUGUCACAGGAGGAUCCAUCUCACUAACACGGGUGAGGGACAGGGACCAAAGAGGAGGCUCUACAACAUGAGGACAGACUGCGAUCCUCAAGCAGUCAGUCCAUGAGCCCACGUCUUCAGGCCAGGGACCCGAGAGGAAUUUCCAGUGACAUGGAUCAACAGAGAUCCUCAAACAGUCAGUCCAUGUGCCACGUUCCAGCCAGGGACCAAAAGGGGGGCUUUCAUCAUAGGGCCAGACAGACAUCCUCAAGCAAGAAAUAGAGAGAUGCAUCCAGGCCACCCACUAGGAGGUGGAACAUCUUACGAAGAGGUGGCUGUACCUGGCGGCAGACUGAGAUGGGGUGAGGAAGAGGAGAAGCACAGACCAAGAACGGAAUGUCAGACAUUUGCCCUUUUUAUGCCCAGCGCACACACACACACACCGGCAUAUAAACAUGCACAUAGACACAGGCGCACAUGCACACACAUACACGCACUCUCAA